rnacentral:rRNA from 1 species
GACGAACGCUGGCGGCGUGCUUAACACAUGCAAGUCGAACGAUGAAGCUAGAGCUUGCUCUGGUGAAUUAGUGGCGAACGGGUGAGUAACACGUGAGUAACCUGCCCCGAACUCUGGGAUAACUGCUGGAAAAGGUUGAUAAUACUGGAUACGACCUACGAAGGCAUCUUAUGUAGGUGGAAAGAAUUUCGGUUCGGGAUGGACUCGCGGCCUAUCAGCUUGUGGGUGAGGUAAUGGCUCACCAAGGCGAGGACGGGUAGCCGGACUGGGAGGGUGACCGGCCACACUGGGACUGGGACACGGCCCAGACUCCUACGGGGAGCAGGAGUGGGGAAUAUUGCACGAUGGGCGCAAUCCUGAUGCAGCAACGCCGCGUGAGGGAUGACGGCCUUCGGGUUGUAAACCUCUUUUAGUAAGGAAGAAGCGAAAGUGACGGUACCUGCAGAAAAAGCACCGGCUAACUACGUGCCAGCCGCCGCGGUAA